rnacentral:rRNA from 1 species
UACGUAGGGGGCGAGCGUUGUCCGGAAUUAUUGGGCGUAAAGAGCGUGUAGGCGGUUCGGUAAGUCUGCCGUGAAAACCUGGGGCUCAACCCCGGGCGUGCGGUGGAUGCUGCCGGGCUAGAGGGUGGUAGAGGCGAGUGGAAUUCCCGGUGUAGCGGUGAAAUGCGCAGAUAUCGGGAGGAACACCGGUGGCGAAGGCGGAUCUCUGGGCCAUUACUGACGCUGAGGAGCGAAAGCGUGGGGAGCGAACAGG